AUUAUGCUGCUGCAAAACGCAUUCUGAGAUAUCUUCAAGGAAGUCAAAGGCAAGGCAUAAAAUAUAUUAAAGAAGAAAAUAACAAUCUUGUUGGUUAUUCCGAUAGUGACUGGGCUGGUUCAAUUGAUGAUAGAAAAAGCACGUCUGGCUAUAUUUUUUGUCUUGGUUCAAAGAUGAUUUCAUGGAGUUCAAAGAAACAAAAAUCAAUUGCUUUAUCUUCAGCAGAAGCAGAGUACAUCGCAGCUACAGAUGCUGCAUGUGAAGCAGUUUGGUUAAGAAGAGUUCUCUUGGAUCUACAACAAACUCAAGUUCAACCAACUAUCAUUUAUUGUGACAGCAUGUCAGCAAUUGCUUUGUCUAAAAAUCCAGUCUUCCAUGCAAGGUCCAAGCAUAUUGAACUUCGACAUCAUUUCAUUCGGAAUUUGGUAAACAAAGAAGAAAUCAUUUUGAAGUAUGUUGGCACAAAUGAGCAAGCUGCAGAUUUUCUUACCAAAGCUGUCACCAUAGAACAAUUCAGAAAGGUUAAGAAUCAAUUGCAAAUUAAGGAGGAGUAUUAGGAAGUAAUUUGCAAUCAAUGCACAUGACUCUUCGGUGUUGAUACAACUUAGCAUUCCAAAGAGUUAUUUUGUAAUCCAAAGAGUCAUUUUGUAAUCCAAAGAGUCAUUUUGUAAUCCAAAGUGUCACCUUGGAAAUCUCAGAAGUACUUGUAUUUCAAAGAGUCAUUUUAGUACUCCAAGGGCAUUAAAUGUUACUUAAAUUGUCAUUCUAUAUAAGAAUGGCUUUAGCAAGAUUGUAAGAUGCAGAAAAAAACUAUGAAUGAAAAAUAUCUCUUGCUUCAUUCCUAAUCCUAUCCCAUCAACUUCACACCUUGUUCCAACAAUACUUGCUCGUCUUAGAUGAUGUAUGGAAUGAGGAUACGGAAGAAUGGGAGAGGCUUAGAGUCCCCUUGCUAUAUGGAGCCAAAGGGAGCAAGAUACUAGUGACCACUAGGAGUGAGGAAGCUGCGCAUAUUAUGAGAACCUCGACUACGUACUAUUUGCAGGGUUUAUUAGAUGAUGACUGCUGGUCUUUGUUCUGCCAGUAUGCAUUUGCCCGAGAUCCAAAUGCAUUUUCUGAUCUAGAUGAUAUCGGAAGACGGAUUGUGAACAAGUGCAAGGGCUUGCCUCUGGCAGCGAUUGCUUUGGGCCAUAGGAUGCGCAGGGUAGCUGACAGAAGCAAGUGGGAAGCAAUUCUCCAAGACGAGAAGUGGGAAUUCUCUGGUGGGAGCAGCGACAUCUCUCGUGCGGUUAGCUCGAGCUACCAGCAAUUGCCUGCACAUCUUAAGCCAUGCUUUGCAUAUUGUUCCUUAAUUCCGAAAGGCUACGAGUUCGAGAAGGAGUUCGUAGUCCAACUGUGGAUAGCACAAAAUUUCAUUCAGCCAAGUGGGGGAGAACGAAUCGAAGACAUAGGCAGCUACUACUUUGAUUCGCUUGUGCAGAAGUCAUUCUUCCAGUUCUCACACUUUGACUAUAAAAGCAGCCGACCUAGGUACAAAAUGCAUAAUCUUAUUCAUGACUUUGCUCAACAUGUAUCAAGGGAGGAAUGUUGUAUAGCGGAGCUUGGCAAACCAUGCAAUCUCUCUGCAAAGACUCGGCAUCUGUCGUUGAUCUGUGACCGGUUUCUGCGGGAUAACUCGACGCAAUCCCCUCUGUCUAAUCAAAGGAAGAAUAUUUUUAAGACAUUAUAUGGAUACAGUGGCUUGUACACGCUCCUGCUGGCUGGUGGAUCCACAACACAUGAGAUAAGGGUCCCCAGCAAUCUUGCAAAGAGAUUGGAAAGACUACGGACCUUGGAUCUGAGCAACUGUGGCAUAAGUACGCUGCCUGAAUCAAUAGGUGAUUUGAAGCACCUUCGGUGCCUCCAGCUUCGCAACACAAAUAUUAGAAGGCUGCCUGAAUCAGUGGGUUGCCUUUACAAUCUUCAGAUAUUGGGUCUUAGAAAUUGUGAUAUUCUGGAGUUGCCUUGGAGCACAAGAAAUCUCCGAAAACUGCGCCAUCUCGAUCUGCAUCUUGAUGAAAAUUCAGUGAUGGCACAGGCUGCCAUGUCCAGAGGGAAUAGUCUGAGGUCCAUGCCACCAAAAAUUGGACUUUUAACUGAUCUCCAAACAUUAUCAAGAUUUGUUGUAGGUACACAGCAUAGAUGUGGGUUAAGAGAGCUGAAGGAUUUGAACAAUCUCCAUGGAGAGCUUCAAAUUUCAAACCUUCAUUUUGUUUCAAAAGCAGCAGAAGCCAAGGAGGCGAAUUUAGCUGGAAAGCGAUACAUUCACAGGUUAGAGCUACGAUGGAGCUAUGCACUCGGUGUGGAUGAGGAGAAAGUUCUGGAUAGCCUCCAACCUCACACUAACCUCAAAGAGCUAAGGAUAGUAGGCUAUGGAGGUGCUUCAUUUCCGGAUUGGAUAUGGCAUUCUUCCUUCUCCAAUCUAGUAAUCUUGUCGCUCUCCGACUGUGGUAAAUGUGAAAAACUCCCACCGCUUGGACAGUUGCCACUUCUGAAGGAACUCUAUGUAAAAGGAAUAGAUUCAGUGAAGACUGUGGAUUGCUCAUUUUGUGGUCAUGACAGAAGAAAUUUCCCAUCAUUGCAAAAGCUACAUUUUGAGAGCAUGCACAGCUUGCAGGUUUGGUGUGGAUAUGAUAAUUGCCUGCUUCCUUUGCUUCGAGAGCUGGUUUUUAAGAACUGCACUGGUCUUCGACAACUUACUCAUAAUCUUCCUUCCCUGUCAAAAUUGGAGAUUGAGGGAUCCCCAAAAUUAGUUGGCUUGCGAAGCUUCCCAUCGCUCCAAUCUUUAGAGGUGAAGGCCAGCGGCGACUGGGUUUUCGACUCAUGGUCCAGUCUCGCUUCUCUUUCCUCCCUGACCCUCAGCGGGUUGCCAACAAUAAGCUUGCCUUCAGAACUCCAGCUUGGCCGUGCUUCUAUACGCUGCUUGGAAAUCAGUUACUGUGACCACUUGGUAUCAUUGCCAGACAAUUGGCUCCCCACUGACCUUACCUAUUUUGCGAUCAAACAUUGUUCUCAAAUCCGUGCACUACCAAGGGGACUGCAGAACCUAAGGAAGCUGGAAGACUUGGAAAUCCAGAACUGUGGGCAGCUAGAGUACCUACCAGAUGGGCUCAAGAACCUGACAUCACUCAUGCGUUUCGAGAUUUCAGACUGUCCUCAGCUUUUAUGCUUGCCAAAUGAUGGUCUGCCAACUAAACUUCAGUUCUUGAGCAUCAACAACUGUCCGGAGCUCGGGCGACGGUGCAAAGUUGAGGAAGGUGAAGACUGGCCCAAGAUUGAGCACAUCUUCUCGGUAUGGAUUGAUAAGCAACUAGUGGGUCAUCUAGUUCAGCCUCAAUACGAAGAUCAGAGCACGCGCCCACUGUAUGAAGGGCAAAGCUCAGGGCAAUAAAUCGGAAUGAUUGCAAAGGUGCCAUCACCUCUAUCAUGGUAUGCUAUCCUAUAAAGGCAGGUAUCAAGGCAAUGAAUUCAUUUCAUAGUUUGAUGUUUCUAUCGUGAUGUGGAGCAGCAAAGUCUCACGGAUGGGUAUCAUAUGAUGAGGAGCAUAGCUUCAGAUGCUCUCUCUCUCUCUCUCUCUCUCUGUGUGUGUGUGUGCGCGCGCGCGCGCGCGCUUUAUAAGUCAAGAUCUUGGAAGUGUCAGGAGCAUGGCUUUUGGUGCUUGCAGUAUUCCUUGUGAGGACUUUGAUGCAGUUACAUUCUAAGUUCCAUACUCUGUACUUUGAUUUGUCAUGAA